GCAGGUUCUCCAAGUCCCAUGGAAGACAUCAUCGGCAGUAAACUGUGCCCAUGUAUGGGCUCAAGACAAUGGUACAUGUGCUCAGCAAUAUCUGUGCAGAGCUCAGCCACAGAGGAAAUGAAGAGGUUUCCCCUUCAGGGACAGGCAGUCCAGGAGAAGGAAGCAGAGCAGUGAGUGCUGCAGGAUGAGAGCAUUGCCUUACUUGCAGGUGGACCAGCAGAUGGAAGGUUGUGGGCUCCUUGGAAGCACUGUUCCUGGGGUGGUCCCAGCCGCCAAGAAGGCAAGCUUUCUGCUGAGAAUAGCGGCCUGUGGACCUGAUCUCAGGAUGUCAGUGUGUGACAACCUGCCCCUGGAAAAUCUUCCUCACACUCUUUCUUUCCAUUUCUCUUUUCCUGAGAGGCACCAAGUGUGUGCUCUGCUUGAAGCCUCAUGGGGUGGACACCCUGAGCAGCCUCGCUCCUUUGAGGAAGGCAUGAUGAAAUGGGCUUCUGGCCAGGGCUGUCCAGUCUGUAGGGUCCUUCUCCCUGCCACAUGCAGCUCCAGCCACAGCUAUGAGGAGAUAGAGAAGCCAGCCCCAGCCUCCUGGGCUGUGUGAGGGGAGGCCGCAGUCAGAUCAAUGAAAACAGGACUUCAUUAAUUACAGAUGGACAGGUUCCUCUGAGCUACGCUAGCUCUGCAUGAGUCACAUUCUAGCUGAGUUUUCUCUCUGUAUUUUUUU